rnacentral:rRNA from 1 species
GAUGAACGCUAGCUACAGGCUUAACACAUGCAAGUCGAGGGGCAGCAUGGUCUUAGCUUGCUAAGGCCGAUGGCGACCGGCGCACGGGUGAGUAACACGUAUCCAACCUGCCGUCUACUCUUGGACAGCCUUCUGAAAGGAAGAUUAAUACAAGAUGGCAUCAUGAGUCCACAUGUUCACAUGAUUAAAGGUAUUCCGGUAGACGAUGGGGAUGCGUUCCAUUAGAUAGUAGGCGGGGUAACGGCCCACCUAGUCUUCGAUGGAUAGGGGUUCUGAGAGGAAGGUCCCCCACAUUGGAACUGAGACACGGUCCAAACUCCUACGGGAGGCAGCAGUGAGGAAUAUUGGUCAAUGGGCGAGAGCCUGAACCAGCCAAGUAGCGUGAAGGAUGACUGCCCUAUGGGUUGUAAACUUCUUUUAUAAAGGAAUAAAGUCGGGUAUGGAUACCCGUUUGCAUGUACUUUAUGAAUAAGGAUCGGCUAACUCCGUGCCAGCAGCCGCGGUAAUACGGAGGAUCCGAGCGUUAUCCGGAUUUAUUGGGUUUAAAGGGAGCGUAGAUGGAUGUUUAAGUCAGUUGUGAAAGUUUGCGGCUCAACCGUAAAAUUGCAGUUGAUACUGGAUAUCUUGAGUGCAGUUGAGGCAGGCGGAAUUCGUGGUGUAGCGGUGAAAUGCUUAGAUAUCACGAAGAACUCCGAUUGCGAAGGCAGCCUGCUAAGCUGCAACUGACAUUGAGGCUCGAAAGUGUGGGUAUCAAACAGGAUUAGAUACCCUGGUAGUCCACACGGUAAACGAUGAAUACUCGCUGUUUGCGAUAUACAGCAAGCGGCCAAGCGAAAGCGUUAAGUAUUCCACCUGGGGAGUACGCCGGCAACGGUGAAACUCAAAGGAAUUGACGGGGGCCCGCACAAGCGGAGGAACAUGUGGUUUAAUUCGAUGAUACGCGAGGAACCUUACCCGGGCUUAAAUUGCAGAUGAAUUACGGUGAAAGCCGUAAGCCGCAAGGCAUCUGUGAAGGUGCUGCAUGGUUGUCGUCAGCUCGUGCCGUGAGGUGUCGGCUUAAGUGCCAUAACGAGCGCAACCCUUGUUGUCAGUUACUAACAGGUUCCGCUGAGGACUCUGACAAGACUGCCAUCGUAAGAUGUGAGGAAGGUGGGGAUGACGUCAAAUCAGCACGGCCCUUACGUCCGGGGCUACACACGUGUUACAAUGGGGGGUACAGAGGGCCGCUACCACGCGAGUGGAUGCCAAUCCCAAAAACCUCUCUCAGUUCGGACUGGAGUCUGCAACCCGACUCCACGAAGCUGGAUUCGCUAGUAAUCGCGCUUCAGCCACGGCGCGGUGAAUACGUUUCCCGGGCCU